CGAGAAACCAAAGAGAAGUAUGAGCUGCUGUUGGUGGUAUCUGACAACGGAGUACCUCAGAGGCAGAAUUUCACGUAUGUCAGCAUUCAAGUACUGGAUGUAAAUGACAACCCUCCUCAGUUUAUGAAAGCACAGUACUCAGCCACUGUACUUGUAGCAACGGCAAAAGAAGGAGUUUCUGUACUGUCAGUGUCUGCUACUGACCUUGACCUUGGGAACAAUUCUGUUAUUUCAUACAGUUUCAUGAACCAUUCUGAUGAUUUCCGUAUAAAUAACCAUACUGGAGAAAUCACUCUCAGCAAUAACUUGGCCCAUAUUACAGCUGAUACAGUCAUUACACUGAUAGUUAUUGCUGCUGACCAUGGAGUUCCUCAGCUUACAUCAAAUGCCUCUGUUACUAUCUACUUGCUGGUAAAUGACACUGACUUCGGACUGACUUUCGAUAGCUCCAGCUAUGAGUUCAGCAUUCCAGAAGAGGAGCCGGUCAG
rnacentral:lncRNA from 1 species